rnacentral:lncRNA from 1 species
AGUUGUAUCUAGAACUAUGCUAGAUAUUUUUGGAUGUAAGUAGGGAAUUCUAGAACCCUCCAUUGAGGAGGUAACUUAGGCCUAUAAAUAGGAGGCAAGGCCAUUUGGCCAAUCCAUCCAACAAUUGUAAGCAAUUGUAAAGUUCUCCUAAGUUUCAAUACAAAGCUUCCUUUCUCCCAUCUUCUAAGUGAUUUUAGCAUUCUCCAAGCUAUCUUAGCUUUCUUUGUGAUUCGAUCCGGGGAAGCGAGGCUUCGAAGGCUUACUUAGCUUGUUCAUCGAGGUAUUUAAGUCUAAGUGCCGCACGGGCGGAAGGCUUAAAGAGUCAUCCCGUGACAGCUGGUAUCAGAGCCUAGUUCAUGAAUCACUUGAAGGAAAGUAGGAUAUGGCAAGUGGAGAGAUGAUGUCCGGAGUCUCCGAGCUAAGGGAGCGUACUGCCGAGGUCCAAGAUGUUGCCAAGAGCAAGCCAAAGUUAAAGGACUUGCAAGCAUCGAUGGAGACCAUGGAAGAGCGACUCGAGAAGGUAGAACGAACCAUACUUGAGUUCGAUACUCGACCUGAUGAGGACGUUGUUGACAAGGAGGAAAUCCAAACCAUAGUGGACAAUGGUAAGGAUGAACUGCGUGGCUUGGUGGAAGGGCUACGAGAUGAGCUCCUUGGCGCUCUCAACACCAUGGCAGACAAGAUGCGGAGGGAAGUCUAGGUUCACCUUGACAACAUAGAGGCAAGGUUUGUGGCGCUUCAAGAAGAGAUAAAGGACACAAGGGAACUUAAGGGAGAUGUGGCGUUUUGUAAAGAAGCAGUCGUGAAGCAAUUCGUGCAAGGGCUGAGGGAAAUCAAGUCGUUGGACUCCAAGGUAAUCGACUCCUUUAAACCUAAAUCCUAUAAUGGGAAGAGGGAAGCAAAGGAGCUCGACACAUUCGUGUGGAACGUGGAGCGAUACUUCAAGUACCUGAAGCUUGAAGAUGACGAGUCCAAAAUCUCAACGGCAACCAUGUUCUUAGCUGACAAUGCCCUUAUGUGGUGGCGUCGUCGGAGCAUGGAGAUUGAGCAAGGUAUGUUCUCUCUCACCACUUGGGAUGAAUUUAAGAAAGAUCUUAUGUUGCACUUCUAUCGCCAAAAUGCCAAGUACGAAGCCAAGGAGAAACUAAGGUGGCUCAAGCAAACGGGGAGCGUCAAAGACUAUGUCAACACCUUCGUGAGUUUGUUAUUCGAGGUGCCCAACAUGUUAGAGGAAGACAAGCUCAUGUACUUCAUGAGUGGACUGCAAAAUUGGGCAAAACUCGAACUACAAAGGAGACACGUGCAAACAUUGUCUGAUGCCAUUGCCGCCGCCGAAUCCUUGAUCGAGUUUAAAUCAAGCCACCAAGGUGAUUCCAAGUCCACGGGGAAGAGGGGUAACCAUGAGACAAGCAAACCGAAGGAGAAGAAAACCGAUAAGCAUGACAAAAGCAAGGGUAAGUCUUGGCAACCCACUUGUUACCUAUGUGACGGCCCUCACAUGAUGCGAGAUUGCCCACAAAAGAAGGCCCUUAAGGCCAUGGCUUUCAAGGAGGACAAGGCCGAGGAGAGUAACGAUACAAGGAUGGGAUGCAUCCGUCUACUGAAUGCCAUCCAAACAACCCUUCCACAACCUAAGGCUCAAGUUGAGGGAGGAUCAUUGUUCGUCGACGUCAAGACCGGUGACAAGACGACGCGUGUGUUGGUGGACACGGGAGCAACCCACAACUUCAUGACGUCGGAGAAAGCCACAAGGCUUGGCCUCCGAGUCACAAAGGAGCCUGGUAGCGUGAAGACGGUAAAUUCCACUGCCACCCCCAUUGUUGGAGUUGCGCGCAAUGUACAAGUAGACAUUGGCACAUGGAAGGGAAAGAUCGACUUCACCGUAGUCAAGAUGGACGACUAUGGCGUAGUCAUUGGGUUAGAGUUCAUGGACAAGGUACUAGCCUUUCCCAUUCCCUUCUACAAUAUCUUCUGUAUCCUAGACGACGGAAGACAACCUUGCCUGGUGCCAUUGGAAAGGCAAGCCAAGAAGUGUACGCAGCACUUGUCGGCAAUUCAAUUUGCCAAGUCUUGGAAGAAAGGCGAGGCCACAUUUCUUGCAACCCUAAUGUUGAAUGAAGGGGAGGAGAAGCACGGGCCUUUGCCGAAACAAGUGGAAGCCGUCCUUGUGGAGUUUGCGGACGUGAUGCCUAAGGAACUACCAAAGAAGUUGCCACCAAGGAGAGAGGUCGACCAUGCGAUUGAGUUGGAGCCUGGUGCUAAGCCUCCAUCCAAAUCACCUUAUAGGAUGUCGCCACCCGAGUUGGAGGAAUUGAGGAAGCAACUCAACGAGCUACUUGAUGUUGCCUACAUCCAACCCUCCAAGUCCCCAUAUGGUGCACCCGUCUUGUGCAUCGACUAUAGAGCAUUGAACAAGAUUACCAUCAAGAACAAGUACCCACUUCCGUUAAUCGCCGACUUAUUCGAUCAACUUGGUUAAGCAAGGUACUUCACAAAGUUAGAUCUUCGAUCGGGAUACUACCAAGUGAGGAUAGCCCCUGGAGACGAAUCGAAGACGGCGAUGGUGACCAGAUAUAGAUCGUUCGAGUAUAAAGUCAUGCCAUUUGGUCUGACCAAUGCCCCCGCAACAUUCUGCACAUUGAUGAACAAGGUAUUCCAUCCUUAUCUUGACAAGUUUGUCGUGGUUUACAUUGAUGAUAUCGUUGUCUAUAGCAAGACAUUGGAGGAGCACGUCGAGCACUUGUGCAUAAUGUUCAAGACCCUUCAGGAGCAUGAACUCUAUGUCAAGAAGGAGAAAUGCUCCUUUGCCACAAAAGAAGUAGAAUUUCUUGGCCACAAGAUAAAGGAGGGCAAGCUUAUGAUGGAAAAGGGCAAGAUCAGGGCCAUUCAAGAGUGGGAACCGCCGACCAAGGUACCAACACUACGAUCCUUUCUGGGGCUAGCCAACUACUAUCGGAUAUUCAUUAAAGGGUACUCAGCCAUAGCGGCACCCUUAACAGACCUUCUUGAGAAGAACAAGGCAUGGGAAUGGACGGACCGGUGUCAAGAGGCCUUUGAGAGGUUGAAGAAGGCCCUAAUGGAGGAGCCUGUACUAAGGUUGCCCAACCUUAGCAAGCCAUUCGAGUUGCACACUGAUGCUUCCGACUUUGCCAUAGGAGGAGUGUUGAUGCAAGAGGGACAUCCGAUAGCAUAUGAAAGUCGCAAGCUAAACAAUGCCGAGAAGAGGUACACGACCCAUGAAAAGGAGAUGACCGCCAUCGUCCAUUGCCUUAGAGUUUGGAGGCAUUACUUGCUUGGUACCCCAUUCAUCAUCAAGACGGAUAACGUUGCCACUACCUACCUUCAAACCCAACAAAAGCUCACACCUAAGCAAGCAAGGUGGCAAGAGUUCUUAGCGUAGUUUGAUUACAAGCUAGAGUACAAGCAAGGAAAGGAGAAUGUGGUGGCCGAUGCUCUAAGUAGAUGAGUAGAGCUAAUGGCUACGGUACUCAAGCCGCAAGCCAUCUCUUGGGCCGUGUCCGAGAAGGUUUAUCACAUGACGUCCAAGCCAAGAACAUUGUGGAGUUUGUCAAGGAUGGGAAGACAAGAAGGUUUUGGCUUGAGGGACAGCUUGCUAUACACCAAGGGCAAGCGGAUCUACAUCCCAAAGUGGGGAAGCUUGAGGAAAGAAAUCCUUAAGGAGUGCCAUGACUCAAUGUGGGCAGGACAUCCUGGCACUCACCGCACGUUGGCUUUGGUGAGCGAUGGUUAUUAUUGGCCACAAAUGCGGGAUGAUGUAGAUUCAUACGUGAAGACUUGUCUUGUGUGCCAACAAGACAAAGUGGAACAAAGGCAACCGGGAGGACUGUUGGAACCACUUCUCACCCCAUCAAGACCAUGGGAGUGUUUAACAAUGGAUUUCAUCACACAUUUGCCCAAGUCUGAUAGAUUGUGGAUCUAUCUUCGUCGUGGUCGAUAGAUUCACCAAGUAUGCCACUUUCAUACCCGCACCUGUGGAGUGCACAGCCGAAGUAGCUGCACGCUUGUUUCUAAAGCACGUGGUGAAGUAUUGGGGUGUUCCGAGGAGCAUAGUCAGUGAUCGAGAUGCUCGCGUCACGGGUAGAUUUUGGAAGGAGCUCUUCAAGCUACUUGGCUCAAAGUUAGACUUCUCCACGGCUUUUCAUCCCCAAACUGAAUGGACAAACGGAGCGGGUUAAUGCAUUGUUAGAGACUUAUUUGCGGCACUAUGUUAGUGCCAAUCAACGAGAUUGGGCUAAGUUACUUGAUGUUGCCCAAUUUUCUUAUAACUUGCAACAUUUGGAGUCGACGGGGAAAAGUCUGUUCGCGUUGGCUAUAGGGCAACAACCCUUGACCCCGAACACGGUCGUGACUGGCUACACGGGGAAUAGUCCAGCCGCUUUUAAAACCGCUAAGGAGUGGCAAUUAGCCCACGAACUUGCUCGAGCUCACUUGGAGAAGGCUUCAAAGAAGAUGAAGAAAUGGGCGGAUCGUAAGCGAAGGAAUGUGGAGUUCCAAACUGGCGACCAAGUCUUUGUGAAGCUCAAUGCAUCUCAGCACAAGAGUACUCGUGGCUUGCACAAGAGCUUGUUGCGAAAAUAUGAGGGACCAUUUCCUAUCAUCAAGAAGGUUGGCAAAGCCGCUUAUGUUGUGGAACUCCUACCCCGCCUCAAGUUUCACCCGGUGUUCUAUGUGAGCAACUUGAAGCCUUAUCAUGCGGACGAUGAGGAACCAAGCUGAGGUGAGUCUCAUCGAGCACCUCCUUUGAUGACAGAGGCAUUUGACAAAGAAGUGGAGAGCAUUGAAUCCAAGCGUGUCGUGGUGCGACCAAGACAACCAAAGCAUGUGGAGUACUUUGUCAAAUGGAAGGGGCUACCAUACUCCGAAGCAACAUGGGAGAAGGAGACGUCCUUAUGGCAAUAUAAGGACCUGAUUGAGACAUUCGAGAGGCAAGAGUCGACGAGGACGUCUACGGCUUAAGUGGGGGAGGAUGUCACGAGCCGUAUGUUAAAAACAAAGAAAACGCCCAAGACAUCAUAUAUCUAAAGCCCAUAAAGCCUUGUCUUCAUGGAAGCUUCUGGAACAUCCCGGAAAAAUCAAGAACAUGACGGAGCGUUCAAGAUAAUCUAGGGCAUUCCGGAACAUUCCACAUAAGUGUACAAAUUUAAGCCUCACCUAGAACAAUCUAGAUUAGGCAAGUUGUAUCUAGAACUAUGCUAGAUAUUUUUGGAUGUAAGUAGGGAAUUCUAGAACCCUCCAUUGAGGAGGUAACUUAGGCCUAUAAAUAGAAGGCAAGGCCAUUUGGCCAAUCCAUCCAACAAUUGUAAGCAAUUGUAAAGUUCUCAUAAGUUUCAAUACAAAGCUUCCUUUCUCCCAUCUUCUAAGUGAUUUUAGCAUUCUCCAAACUAUCUUAGCUUUCUUUGUGAUUCGAUCCGGGGAAGCGAGGCUUCGAAGGCUUACUUAGCUUGUUCAUCGAGGUAUUCAAGUCUAAGUGCCGCACGGGCGGAAGGCUUAAAGAGUCAUCCC